rnacentral:lncRNA from 1 species
CGGCGGCCGGGCACCAUCGCCGCCCCGCGAACGGGCAGAGGCGCAGCGCGAGUGACCCGGUGCGGCGAGUCACUGGUCGGGCUCGCAGGGGGAGCCCCGCGGCGCAGCGAGCUCCGUCACGGAGAGCAGGAGGGACCGUUSCAGAUAACUGCUGAAUUUGGAAGACCCUUCAAGUGUCAGCCCCGCCAGAAACACGCAGGUACAAACAACUGAGCAGAAAAGGAAGACGCCUGCAUGCCUAGCAAGCUUCCCUUCCGAAACCCCAGCGGAGUCCUCUACCAGCAAAGGCAGAUGCUUCCUAUCUACAAUGCGCUCUACCCAGAGAGGAAAAUAAAUGCAGAACUAAAGUGCCAAGAGAUAUGCUGAAAGACACAAGCCACCUCUAGUGAAAUUGCUUCAAAAAUAAGAACAGAAGUACAUCAGUUUAUCUAUAUUCUACAUAUAUUAGAAGAUUCACACACUGCAAAAAUGGACGAGCAAUUCUUAACUGUACUCCUGUGGUGUUAAUACUCGCUUUGUAGUAUAUUUCUCAGUAGUAGUAACCACUUAGAUUAUGAUCCUCAAUUAUGUUCUCCACAGUGGUUUUGUUUUUUAAACAUAAAAUGAAAUUCCCCUCCUCUUUCUGAAAGAAUUGAGUUUCRAAAAGACCCUCCAAGUGACCCCUCAAAUAAAGAUAGUGAGAGAAAGAGAGAGAGAGAGAGA